rnacentral:rRNA from 1 species
UCCCAUAAAUUUAAGGGGAACAAGAAAAUACAAAUUAUAGAUGUACAUGUUAGCUAAACAGCAAACAAGUNGAAAAAAAAAAUUACACUAGUAAAAGAAAAUAAUUUUUUAAAGUAAACAAUUCAUUGCAUAAAACAAUCCAAUAAAUCACAUUUUAAAAAGCAACACACAAUAUUGUGCAAUGUGCUAAAACACGACACAGCAUCAAUUUCACACCAAGAACAAGCAAAGAAUGUGCCAGCAGCCGCGGCUAAACAUUCUGUACUAAUUUUCAACAACACACACGUAAAAAAGAACAUUCAAAUAAAAGAAAAAUGAACAAUAACAUAAUAGUAAAAUAUAAAAAUAAUAAUUCAACCCAAUUUAUUUUCUANAAAAAAAUUACUUAUACACCAAAGCUUAGAUCAUCAAAAGGAUUAGAUACCCUUGUAGCCUAUGCCCUAAAUAAAUAAUAACAAGUAUGCUCGCANGACAGAAACUUAAUAAAUUUGAGAGAGUGAGAAAACUCAGGGAAGCGUAUACUUUAAUUCGAAACUACACGAAAACCUUACCUAAAUUUACAAGUAAGAUAUCUCCGCAUAUUGCUUUUAUGNNAAAAAAACAAAAUACAAAUAACGACUUAUGCCGGUCACCACCUUCUUUAUGUUUAGGGCCAGUAAGCGCCACAAACUAUUAAUUCACACAUAAUAGUCCCUAUAAAUGAAAAAAAAAGGAGAACUUGNAAGUAAUUAUUCCUAAUAAAAGAAUAAUGAAACAAAUAUAAAACUGCUACAAACCGCCCGUCAAUUCUUGAGAAGAAAAAAUGAAAAAUACUAAGAAAAAUAACCCACACAUAAUCUACUACUAUUAACAUAAAAAANNUUAAGAAUAAGUCGUAACAAGGUAGCCGUAUCUGAAGAUGCGGCUGAAAAUAA